GAUGAAAUUCCGUAUGUGAUGAAAUUUCAUGCUGUGAUGAAAUUAACUGCAAUAUUAAAAAUAAUAUUUACCCUUUUGGAAAUAAAUGGUAAACAGAAAGUACAUGCCAAGCACACUGGGUCCAGUUAUCUCAUUUGAUUUUCACUACAAUCUAGCAGCCUGGAUGCUGAAGUUUUAUAUGUGAUAGAAUAUGGAAGAAGUUGGUGCUCCGGGUAGAAGCAUUUUCAGUAAGAAGCAACAUUGUUUUCCUGAAGAAGGUGUGGUAAGUUUUCGAGGGCAGCCAAUUAGGUCACUUACCUUUGAAGUUAAAUGGCCACUCUCUGGGCAAGAUUAUUGUCCCAUGGGUGU